rnacentral:lncRNA from 1 species
CAGAAUUUUCCUAAGGACAAAAUAAAAUUUAUUUUUUUAGUGAGCUAAAGAGUAUAAGUUUUGGUGUCUGGCAUAAGUUUUGGUGUCUGAUUAUUGGGUUAUUCCCCCCCCCCCAGGGAAAGAACAAGAGAAAGACACAAAUCACCACGGAAUAAAGAUGGCAGGGGGUCAGAAAAGUCUGUCACCAUCCAGGCUCCCACUGGAGAGCCCUUGCUGGCGAAUGACUCUGCCCACACAGGCACAGAGGAAGUUCAGGUAAGGAUCAAAGGCUGUGCUGUAAGCCAGCUGCCACUCAGCUCGGCGCCUCCCUGCAAACGUUUUCCUAAGUCUUGUUGCACUAAGUUCUCUUGGGUUUUUAAUCUUCGUUUUUCUAGCAUCUUAACUACUUCUCUGGUUUUCUUGUUGGUCUAAGAACAACAUGUCCUACCAUUGAAUACCUCGGGGUGGAGGGGGGGUCUGUCCUUUCUGCCGUGUGCUUGGUUAGCCUUCUUUGAAUGGUGUUGGAAAGAAGCCAGCUUGGCUGGUGACAGGUCAGAAGAGGGAAAAAGGGUCCCUGGAGACUCAUUCUAAACUGGAGCAGGACUGGAGAGGGCUGGAAACUCCCUCAAAAACAAACAACCAAA